rnacentral:rRNA from 1 species
CCUACGGGUGGCUGCAGUGGGGAAUAUUGCACAAUGGGGGAAACCCUGAUGCAGCGACGCCGCGUGAGUGAAGAAGUACUUCGUUAUGUAAGCUCUAUCAGCAGGGAAGAAAAUGACGGUACCCGAGUAAGAAGCGCCGGCGAACUACGUGCCAGCAGACGCGGUAAUACGUAGGGGGCAAGCGUUAUCCGGAUUUACUGGGUGUAAAGGGUGCGUAGACGGCAGUGCAUGACUGGCGUGAAAGGGGGGGGCUCAACCCCCGGACUGCUCUGGAAACUGUACGGCUGGAGAGCAGGAGAGGUAAGUGGAAUUCCUAGUGUAGCGGUGAAAUGCGUAGAUAUUAGGAGGAACACCAGUGGCGAAGGCGGCUUACUGGACUGUAACUGACGUUGAGGCUCGAAAGCGUGGGGAGCAAACAGGAUUAGAUACCCUAGUAGUC